rnacentral:lncRNA from 1 species
ACAUCUUGUGUCGAGCUCAUAACUUCUUCUCACAACUUUCAAUCCAUUCUCACAACUUUUAAUUGAGUCUUCAUUUGUGCUAGUGAGAGAGAUAUUGUGAGCUUUUUCAAUCCAUUCUCACAACUUUCAUUCAUAUCCCUAGCAUCUUCUUCUCCUCUUCCUAAAAUGAUAAACAUAGACUGAAAAAGGUCCCCUUAUAGGUGCGUCAUCAAGUCUUCAUUACACAUCCUCAUGGCAUUUGAGUUACUUCUCCAUCAGUCUGCCCAUUCUCUUCAUAAUCAAGAGGAAUAAAAUAUGGUAUUCUACCAUACCAGAUCAUGCCAAAAAAUAAAUUGUUUUCACCACUCCAGUUCACACACUACUAUGGCACAUUCAAAAUUGUCAAAGAAUGAUUAUUUCGCUAAGUCUUUAUCCAUUCACUCCUUCAGUUCAUUAAAUGAUUGUGCUGCCUUUUCAUGGAAACAAAAUUCAGAACAUAAACUUAUAAAUGCAAAUGCAAAUUUUAGCAAGUCCAAAAAAUCCUAAUUACCACUUCAUCAGAGUGAGUCCAAAUCAGUUAGCUGAAACUUUGACAGCAUUGAAUGUUUAACCAUAUCAAAUCAUUUACGAACAACAAAUGAAAGGCAACAAGUAAAUCCACCAGGAAAAAGAGCUAAUGACAUCAAUAAACAAUAUACUAAGGCAAUUUAAAUGCCUUACUAUAUAUAACCUCAGAAGGUUUUAUGGCCAGACUCAGGGCCAUGGUCUCAAAUUAUUAAAAAAAAAACCCAAAUCAGAUAAGGAGACGAGAAUCAAAUAUUGUUAAGUUGGACACUCCAAAUUUUAGAGUUUUCUGACACGUUGGACGCUUGAACACUUGGGAAUUUAUGACACUCUUUGACACUUCAUACCAUCAAAUCAUGAUGGCAUCAUGAUUAUAUAUUUUCUUUUGGCACUUCUAUAUAAAAUAUAUCAGGUCUAACAUAACAAUUAGCAACCACUCUACCAAGCUUGAUGAACAUAAGAAGCAUAGAUCUAGCUCCCCAUUCAUCAUACAUAAAUACAUAUUUUUAAAGAUGCACCUAUCCUCAUGGUCACAUUUUAGAAGAUCCUAGUGUCAGAUUCUUCUAGAAACUUGGAUACCUAACAUCCAUGUCACAUGUUCAAGUAGCAUUAGAAUGCACUCUCUAACCCCAUAUGUGUCCCUAGCCAAGCACAAAAAGAGGUGGCAAUGGAAUUAAAAGGACUAUAUAUGGCAUCUCAAUUAAGAGAGGAUUGCAAGUAGUGGAACCAACUUCCGUUAAUAGUUAAUAUUUUUAAGAAAAAAUUAAGAUCCUGUCCUAGUGUGUAAUUGUGAGACCCAAGAUUUGGAAACUUGGAAUGGCAAGAUGUAGAGGUAAAGGAAAUUGCCACAUUCAUCCACCAACUAAAAUAUGACAUAACAAAGCUGCCUUACCAUAAGGUACUUAUCUUUUAAGUCACAGGCAGCCCCCUCAAGAAUAAUAAUUAUAAAUUGGCAUGAAAGUGCAGCAUGAUAAGUGUUUGCAUGCACGAUGAAAAUUAGGAUUUCACGAUGAAUCUCUCCAAGCAACAUCUUGUCCAAAUUGACAGACUCAAAUAUUCUAUAAAUACUGAAAAAAUCAAAACAAAACAAUUUGUUCUACAUAGUCUCUUCACCACCAAUUUACCAAAAUUCUAUAGUAUAAGCAUGAAUG